UAUGAAGGCCUGUCGAGGACCUAUGUCGACUACAUGAACCGCCUGUAUGAGCGAGAAAUCAAAGACUUCUUUGAGGUUGCCAAAAUAAAGAUGGCGGGCACAUCCAAAGAAGCGAAGGGCAAGUUUGCCACGCUUCCUUGGAAAAAAGAGUGCGUUCAAA